rnacentral:rRNA from 1 species
ACACGGGGGGCGCAAGCGUUAUUCGGAAUUAUUGGGCGUAAAGGGCGUGUAGGCGGUUUUAUCGGUCAGAUGUGAAAGCCCAGGGCUCAACCCUGGACGUGCAUUUGAAACAGUAAGACUUGAGUACGGUAGAGGAAAGCGGAAUUCCUGGUGUAGAGGUGAAAUUCGUAGAUAUCAGGAGGAACACCGAUGGCGAAGGCAGCUUUCUGGACCGAAACUGACGCUGAUGCGCGAAGGCGUGGGUAGCGAACAGGAUUAGAAACCCCAGUAGUCC